ACGAACGCUGGCGGCGUGCCUAAUACAUGCAAGUCGAACGGUCUUUCUAUGGAAGCUUGCUUCCACUGAGAAGAUAGUGGCGAACGGGUGAGUAACACGUGGGUAACCUGCCCAUAAGAGGGGGAUAACAUCCGGAAACGGGUGCUAAUACCGCAUAGUUUUCUUGAUUGCAUGAUUGAGAAAGGAAAGACGGCCUUUGUGCUGUCGCUUAUGGAUGGACCCGCGGCGUAUUAGUUAGUUGGUGAGGUAACGGCUCACCAAGACGAUGAUACGUAGCCGACCUGAGAGGGUGAUCGGCCACAUUGGGACUGAGACACGGCCCAAACUCCUACGGGAGGCAGCAGUAGGGAAUCUUCCGCAAUGGACGAAAGUCUGACGGAGCAACGCCGCGUGAGUGAAAGAAGGUUUUCGGAUCGUAAAACUCUGUUGUCAGAGAAGAACAAGUUGGAGAGUAACUGCUCCAGCCUUGACGGUAUCUGACCAGAAAGCCACGGCUAACUACGUGCCAGCCGCCGC
rnacentral:rRNA from 1 species